UGGGGAAUAUUGCACAAUGGGCGCAAGCCUGAUGCAGCCAUGCCGCGUGUAUGAAGAAGGCCUUCGGGUUGUAAAGUACUUUCAGCGGGGAGGAAGUGAGUAAAGUUAAUACCUUUGCUCAUUGACGUUACCCGCAGAAGAAGCACCGGCUAACUCCGUGCCAGCAGCCGCGGUAAUACGGAGGGUGCAAGCGUUAAUCGGAAUUACUGGGCGUAAAGCGCACGCAGGCGGUUUGUUAAGUCAGAUGUGAAAUCCCCGGGCUCAACCUGGGAACUGCAUCUGAUACUGGCAAGCUUGAGUCUCGUAGAGGGGGGUAGAAUUCCAGGUGUAGCGGUGAAAUGCGUAGAGAUCUGGAGGAAUACCGGUGGCGAAGGCGGCCCCCUGGACGAAGACUGACGCUCAGGUGCGAAAGCGUGGGGAGCAAACAGG
rnacentral:rRNA from 1 species